rnacentral:rRNA from 1 species
AUUGAACGCUGGCGGCCGGCCUAACACAUGCAAGUCGAACGUGUGGCGGACGGGUGAGUAAUGUCUGGGAAACUGCCUGAUGGAGGGGGCUAACUACUGGAAACGGUCGCUAAUACCCCAUACCAUCAGAUGUUCCCAGAUGGGAUUAGCUUGUGGGUGGGGUAACCGCUCACCAAGGCGACGAUCCCUACCUGGUCUGAGAGGAUGACGAGGCAGGCUGGAACGGAGAAACGGCCCAGAGUGCUACGGGAGGCAGCAGUGGGGAAUAUUGCACAAAGGGCGGAAGCAUGAUGCAGCCAGGGCGCGUGUAUGAAGAAGGCCUGCGGGUUGUAAAGUACUGGCAGCGGGGAGGCGGUACCCGCAGAAGAAGCACCGGCUAACUCCGUGCCAGCCGCCGCGGUAAUAC